rnacentral:rRNA from 1 species
UACGGAGGGUGCGAGCGUUGUCCGGAAUCACUGGGCGUAAAGAGCUCGUAGGCGGUUUGUCGCGUCUGCUGUGAAAACGCGAGGCUCAACCUCGCGCCUGCAGUGGGUACGGGCAGACUAGAGUUCGGUAGGGGAGACUGGAAUUCCUGGUGUAGCGGUGAAAUGCGCAGAUAUCAGGAGGAACACCGAUGGCGAAGGCAGGUCUCUGGGCCGAUACUGACGCUGAGGUGCGAAAGCGUGGGGAGCAAACAGG